AGUUAUGGUUCCUUUGAUCGCUCACCCGCUACUUGGAUAACUGUGGCAAUUCUAGAGCUAAUACAUGCAAACGAGCGCUGACCUCCGGGGAUGCGUGCAUUUAUCAGACUUAAAACCCGCGCGGGGCGCUGCCGCGUGGUGGCCCCCGGCCUGUUUGGUGACUCUAGAUAACCUUGGGCCGAUCGCUCGCCCUCGCGGCGGCGACGACUCAUUCGAAUGUCUGCCCUAUCAACUUUCGAUGGUACUCUAUGUGCCUACCAUGGUGACCACGGGUAACGGGGAAUCAGGGUUCGAUUCCGGAGAGGGAGCCUGAGAAAUGGCUACCACAUCCAAGGAAGGCAGCAGGCGCGCAAAUUACCCAUUCACGACACGUGGAGGUAGUGACGAAAAAUAACAAUACAGGACUCUUUCGAGGCCCUGUAAUUGGAAUGAGUGUACUUUAAAUCCUUUGGCCAGUACCAAUUGGAGGGCAAGUCUGGUGCCAGCAGCCGCGGUAAUUCCAGCUCCAAUAGCGUAUCUUAAAGUUGCUGCAGUUAAAAAGCUCGUAGUUGGAUCUCGGG
rnacentral:rRNA from 1 species